rnacentral:rRNA from 1 species
UACGUAGGGUGCAAGCGUUAAUCGGAAUUACUGGGCGUAAAGCGUGCGCAGGCGGUGAUGUAAGACAGGUGUGAAAUCCCCGGGCUUAACCUGGGAACUGCAUUUGUGACUGCAUCGCUGGAGUGCGGCAGAGGGGGAUGGAAUUCCGCGUGUAGCAGUGAAAUGCGUAGAUAUCAGGAGGAAUACCGAUGGCGAAGGCAGGUCUCUGGGCUAGAACUGACGCUCAUGCACGAAAGCGUGGGGAGCAAACAGG